UACAGAGGGGGCAAGCGUUGUUCGGAAUUACUGGGCGUAAAGGGCGCGUAGGCGGCCUGCUAAGUCGAACGUGAAAUCCCCGGGCUCAACCCGGGAACUGCGUCCGAUACUGGCAGGCUUGAAUUCGGGAGAGGGAUGUGGAAUUCCAGGUGUAGCGGUGAAAUGCGUAGAUAUCUGGAGGAACACCGGUGGCGAAGGCGGCAUCCUGGACCGAUAUUGACGCUGACGCGCGAAAGCCAGGGGAGCAAACGGG
rnacentral:rRNA from 1 species